rnacentral:rRNA from 1 species
AUACGGAGGGUGCAAGCGUUACUCGGAAUCACUGGGCGUAAAGCGCGCGCAGGCGGCUAUUUAAGUUGGAUGUGAAAGCCUACGGCUCAACCGUAGAACUGCAUCCAAAACUAUUUAGCUAGAGUGUGGGAGAGGAAGAUCGAAUUAGUUGUGUAGGGGUAAAAUCCGUAGAGAUAACUAGGAAUACCAAAAGCGAAGGCAAUCUUCUGGAACACUACUGACGCUGAGGCGCGAAAGCGUGGGGAGCAAACGGGAUUAGAUACCCUAGUAGUCC